rnacentral:misc_RNA from 1 species
CAGCUAUGGAGUUUUGCAUCUGAUUCUCAGCUACUGCAUUCCUAUCUAGUUAAAAGAAUUUCAUGGCUUCCAUUCUUCUCAAAUUUCAUAUGCAACCCUUUACAACUACUAAUCUGUCAACUGAAUUUCUGCAAAAUAAUAUUCUGUUCUCUUCUCUUUCAUCUCCUAAAAUCCACCAUCGAAGUCUUGAUACUCGAGUAUCUUUCUUCCCCUUCCACGAUGAUCGCUUCCACAGGCCCAAAAUUCCCUCUCUAUCCAUUCACUCUUCCCUAUCUUCCUCUACCCCACCUGCAUCCAAAGAAGAAGCCAUCCUUCAAGCCAAAACCUGCCUCUCAGCAACACUGGAAAAGCCCCUCAACAACCCCAAACUUGCUGGGAAACUCAAGAAACUGAAGCAACCCAGAUUCCAAGUCGAAAUCCCAGUCAUCGAUGACUCGCCAACAUCCCUCUCCCAACUUGCUCUUGAUGUUUUUGGAGAGCUACCCAUUAAAAGAAAGGGCUUCAGGAUCAAGAUUCUAAUACUCUGGCCAAGCCCCACAUUAAAAAACAUUGCAGUUGAAGCAUUUCAAUCUCAUUCAUCUAACAAUGUUGAGCAUUUUGACAUAUCUUCAGUUAUAAAUGGUGAAAACAGUUUCUUGGGCUCUACUGAGAUAGCUGUGUUUUUGGCGCCAGAGAGUUCACAAUUGGCAACUAUAAAAACCAUUACUGACAGUUUGUACCCAAAGCCAGUGGUGAUAUUCAACCCAAGAUGGGGUUUUGAAGAGGAGAGCGAUUUUGGUGAUUUGAGUGGCUUUGCAGGCUCUUUUGAGGUGAUAUAUUCAUUUGUAGGGUUGGAGGUGAGAGGUGUUCUGAGCAAGCGAAGAGGAGUGGUUUUCAAGUGUGUCAGAGAUGGGGUUGUGAGUGGUGAAAGAUGGACAGUUCUUGUUGAAGAAGAAGGAGAAUUGAAAGUUGUUUCAAGAUUCAAGACCCGGCCAUCCAUAGGUGAAGUUGAGAAUGUUUUGUAUAAUUUGAUGGCUAUUAAUUCGCCAAUAACAAAAUCUGCCAAGUUUUUAAAAGAUUUGGUGUCAAAUGUAACAGGAAGAAAGAAUUAGGGAAUGGGGAUAUUGAUUUUGAUACAUGUUUUUCUUUUUAUAUGAUUGAAAUUUUCUUAUGAAUUGUUUCAUUGAAUGCAAUUGCUUUCUUUAUGAAUUUUUUGUGGUUAAAUUUAACUAAGGUCACUAAAUACAGCAUUUUAUUGUAAACAUAAGGAUGCUAUCUAGAAAAUAGAAAUUGUGUUACAGAGAAGAAUAUAAAUGGUGAAAAGUGGUGGCUGAGAGCUAGGGAGAAUGCUUAUAAGAGAGGAAAUUGGUGAUGAAAGUUCUACUGUCUACAUAAUGGUGAAAAACUAAUUUUUGUGCUCAUUUAUUAGUUCUCUUUUAACCAAAUAAAAAAGGCAAAGAACAGGAGGUUUUCAGACUUGAACCGUAGAGGAAGAGUUCCAAAAGAAUAAAAGAGA